UACAGAGGGUGCAAGCGUUGUUCGGAAUCAUUGGGCGUAAAGGGCGUGUAGGCGGUCUGUUAAGUCAUGUGUGAAAUCCCUCGGCUCAACCGGGGAACGACGCAUGAAACUGACAAGCUAGAGUACCAAAGAGGGGGGUGGAAUUCCACGUGUAGCAGUGAAAUGCGUAGAUAUGUGGAGGAACACCGAUGGCGAAGGCAGCCCCCUGGGUCAAGACUGACGCUCAUGCACGAAAGCGUGGGGAGCAAACAGG
rnacentral:rRNA from 1 species